UUCGUAUGAAUAUUAAUUAAGAAAUCUAGAAUUUUUUGCAUCAACAAUCUAUUAGAUCUCGUAGUUUUCUAUUUUUUUUAAAGGCUUUAGGUUUCAUAUCCCUGUGCUUUAAUUUGUGUUUGUAAUUGUUUUCUACUUUAUACGAAAUUUGAGAUCUAUGUAUUUGGAUGAAAAUAAGGUGUUUAUAUUUGGGUUAGGGCUUGGAUUUGAAGAUAUAUGGGCUUCAUUAUUGCGUCGAAGCUCUUAAUGAAGAAGUUUAAGGAUCUGUAGGAUUUUCUCACAUCACGCAAUGCUGGAACAAGAUUGUAGAACACAAAUAGUAUUGAAGAAGGAUAAGUUUGAAGACCUUCACUGUUUUUUUAUUACAUAUGUACAAUGACAUUGAAUAAUAUACUAUUGUGUAGUACAUUUAAUUGACAUUUUUUUUUAUCAUGAAAGUAUUCGAAUUAUUCAACUUGAGAA